GCGAUUAUACCAGCACUAAUGCACCGGAUCACAUCAGAACUCCGAAGUUAAGCUUGCUUGGGCGAGAGCAGUACUAGGAUGGGUGACCCCCUGGGAAGUCCUCGUGUUGCACCU
rnacentral:rRNA from 1 species